rnacentral:rRNA from 1 species
AUUGAACGCUGGCGGCAUGCUUUACACAUGCAAGUCGAACGGUAACAGGCCGCAAGGUGCUGACGAGUGGCGCACGGGUGAGUAAUGCAUCGGAACGUGCCCAGUCGUGGGGGAUAACUACUCGAAAGAGUAGCUAAUACCGCAUACGAUCUAUGGAUGAAAGCGGGGGACCGUAAGGCCUCGGCCGAUUGGAGCGGCCGAUGUCAGAUUAGGUAGUUGGUGGGGUAAAGGCCCACCAAGCCAACGAUCUGUAGCUGGUCUGAGAGGACGACCAGCCACACUGGGACUGAGACACGGCCCAGACUCCUACGGGAGGCAGCAGUGGGGAAUUUUGGACAAUGGGCGCAAGCCUGAUCCAGCAAUGCCGCGUGCAGGAAGAAGGCCUUCGGGUUGUAAACUGCUUUUGUACGGAACGAAACGGCUCUGGUUAAUACCCGGGGCUAAUGACGGUACCGUAAGAAUAAGCACCGGCUAACUACGUG